rnacentral:tRNA from 1 species
GCGAGGAUGGCGGAACCGGCAGACGCGCUAGUUUGAGGGGCUAGUGGGGUAACUCCCGUAGGGGUUCAAGUCCCCUUCCUCGCACCA